UUCUCUGCAGCAAUGCGAUUUGACUCGAGUCUUUGUUGACCGAGUUUAAACAAAGCUAGAGGAUGGUCAGUAUGGACUAGUCCGAGUGCUAAGCAUUCUUGGGUCUAGAACAGAUUGGUUGUCAAAUCUAUCUUUUUU
rnacentral:misc_RNA from 1 species